GGGUCAACUCGGUUAUCUAUACAGGGAAACAUGCCCAUAUACUGGGAAGAUUUGCUUCCUGUUGCAAUUAUCAGCAUCAGCUUUGAAAACGAAGAAGUUUGACAAAAGGCUCCAAGCAUAUAAUACCACCAGAGCCCGGGAACAGACCUCGUCAACAGGAAGACCUACCCACCAGCCACUGGCCACCGGAGGCAGAAAAGUGAGCCCCGCGCCUAACGCAGCCAGCCGGACCGCAGGGACCCCAGGAGCGCAGGGCGAAGGAGCAGCGCGAGAGGAGGCGAGGGCGCAGGCAGCGCGGCCGGGAAGAAGCGAGGGAGGGGCAGGAGGAGGAGGAGGAGAAGGAGGCCAAAAGCCAGAGCAGCCGGGCAGCCCGAGCAGCCGGGCAGCCCGAGCAUCGGGGGAGAGCGGCCUGAGCCCCGAGCAAGUUGCCUCGGGAGCCCAAAUCCUCUCCCGCCGGCUCGCUGAGCGGUCAGUGGAGCGCGGCGGCGGCGAAGCUGAAAUAUGAUAAUCAGAA
rnacentral:lncRNA from 1 species